AACCGCAAACCCGAAGGUCGAAGGGAGAAAUUCAUUCGCGUUUCGACGCAGGCGUUCGGGCGGAGUCUCGUGCGACGGGACGCGUUCGCGUUCUCCUAGCGACGAACGCGCGCGUCUCGCGCCCUCCGUCCCUCGAACCGGCGACGAACGCGUGCACUUUUCUCCUGGUAGGACGUCGCGAUCCGUCGGGCGUCGGUCUACGACUCGCGGUGGAGACCGUCCGUCGUCCUCGAGACGCACGGGACGGACCCGCUCGUUCCGGCCGACUCGCUCGACGGUACGAACCGGUGUACGGUCGGAGGCCGCUCGAUCUCUCUCACGUAAAUCUAAAACGAGAGAGAGAGAAAAUGAAAAAGGAGCGUUCGACUCGUCGCAAGCGCGCCACGUGCGUCGGCACGCGGACCCCGUGCCGCGUCCGACCUCUGGCGACUGUUGGCGACGACGUUCUCGGACAGACCUCUUCGUCUCCUCUUUUUUCCUUUCCGGUUUUCUUCGUCCCGUCUCUCUCGUCGUUUCGUCGUCCGGUGGUUUUCUUUUCUUUUCUGCGCGGCGCGCGCGCGUGUCGCGUCUCGUUCUUCGGACGGGGCGCGCUCGCUCGCUCGCGCUCGCGUGGCGAGAGAGAUCGCCGGCGGCGACUGCGCGGCGGCGGGGUCACCGGAGAGAACGUCUCGGAGGGGGAGAGCUGCGGAGGAGACGAUUCGGACCUAUCGGCGACGCUAUAGCUUUGGGUACUCUCGGGACCCGUCUUGAAACACGGACCAAGGAGUCCAGCACGUACGCGAGUCAUUGGGAAUUUUGCUAAACCCAAAGGCGCAAUGAAAGUGAAGGUCUUCCUUUGCGCGAAGACCGAGGGAAGACGGACGGACGUACGGACGGUGUGUCGUCCCGCAUUCCCGGGGCGUCUCGUUCGCGCGCGCGCUUCGAUCGCGCGCGCGGAGAGGCGCACCAAGAGCGUACACGCUGGGACCCGAAAGAUGGUGAACUAUGCCUGGUCAGGACGAAGUCAGGGGAAACCCUGAUGGAGGUCCGUAGCGAUUCU
rnacentral:rRNA from 1 species